rnacentral:lncRNA from 1 species
CUCAGGCCAGGGGAUGAAGCCAGGGAUGUCCUUACCGCGGGAUGGCAGAAAUCCAAGAGGCCGAGCGGACAUGUGCGAGGAUGCUCGGCGUUCACGUGGAACUGGUGCACAGUCUCUCUAGCGUUCCAUGGGCAGAAGCACCAGCCGAGAGCGCCGGGUCAGAGAGGAGGGUGUUGCAAGUCAGGAGAUGGUGGCCAGGUCCUUUUGUGACUCCUGCCUGUUGAUAGCCAAAGACCUCCACAGCCUGGAAGAAAGAAGGUCUGGAAUGGAGAUGCCCAACCCAGGAGAGAAGGGGUGUCCUGGGGUAGCGAGGGCUGCAGGAUGUGGGGUCCCAAGGCUGGGUUCUGGUGGCUCUGUGAAUUAGCUGUCUGGUUUGAGGAGAGCCACUAUUUCUUUGGGUCUCAUUUUCUGGGACCAGAGAUAGUUGCAUAAAAUUGUCUUGGUCCCUUACCCCACCUUGUACUCUGCUCCUCUCCAAGUAGCCUGAAAGGAUGGCCUUAAAUAGGAAGCUGUGGAGAGGAAGAGAAGAGAGAGUUAGACCACCCC